rnacentral:rRNA from 1 species
GAUGAACGCUGGCGGCGUGCUUAACACAUGCAAGUCGAACGGAAAGGCUCCUGCUUGCAGGGGUACUCGAGUGGCGAACGGGUGAGUAACACGUGGGUGAUCUGCCCUGCACUUCGGGAUAAGCCUGGGAAACUGGGUCUAAUACCGGAUAGGACGAUGGUUUGGAUGCCAUUGUGGAAAGUUUUUCGGUGUGGGAUGAGCUCGCGGCCUAUCAGCUUGUUGGUGGGGUAAUGGCCUACCAAGGCGUCGACGGGUAGCCGGCCUGAGAGGGUGUACGGCCACAUUGGGACUGAGAUACGGCCCAGACUCCUACGGGAGGCAGCAGUGGGGAAUAUUGCACAAUGGGCGCAAGCCUGAUGCAGCGACGCCGCGUGGGGGAUGACGGCCUUCGGGUUGUAAACUCCUUUCGCUAGGGACGAAGCGAAAGUGACGGUACCUGGAGAAGAAGCACCGGCUAACUACGUG